UACAGAGGUCCCAAGCGUUGUUCGGAUUCAUUGGGCGUAAAGGGUGCGUAGGCGGCGCGGGAAGUCGGGUGUGAAAUCUCGGAGCUUAACUCCGAAACUGCAUUCGAUACUGCCGUGCUUGAGGACUGGAGAGGAGACUGGAAUUUACGGUGUAGCGGUGAAAUGCGUAGAUAUCGUAAGGAAGACCAGUGGCGAAGGCGGUUGCCUGGAGCUUUGCUGACGCUGAUGCGCGAAAGCGUGGGGAGCGAUCCGG
rnacentral:rRNA from 1 species